rnacentral:rRNA from 1 species
GGGUUGUGAGGUUAAGCGACUAAGCGUACACGGUGGAUGCCCUGGCAGUCAGAGGCGAUGAAGGACGUGCUAAUCUGCGAUAAGCGUCGGUAAGGUGAUAUGAACCGUUAUAACCGGCGAUUUCCGAAUGGGGAAACCCAGUGUGAUUCGUCACACUAUCAUUAACUGAAUCCAUAGGUUAAUGAGGCGAACCGGGGGAACUGAAACAUCUAAGUACCCCGAGGAAAAGAAAUCAACCGAGAUUCCCCCAGUAGCGGCGAGCGAACGGGGAGCAGCCCAGAGCCUGAAUCAGUGUGUGUGUUAGUGGAAGCGUCUGGAAAGGCGCGCGAUACAGGGUGACAGCCCCGUACACAAAAAUGCACAUACUGUGAGCUCGAUGAGUAGGGCGGGACACGUGGUAUCCUGUCUGAAUAUGGGGGGACCAUCCUCCAAGGCUAAAUACUCCUGACUGACCGAUAGUGAACCAGUACCGUGAGGGAAAGGCGAAAAGAACCCCGGCGAGGGGAGUGAAAAAGAACCUGAAACCGUGUACGUACAAGCAGUGGGAGCACGCUUAGGCGUGUGACUGCGUACCUUUUGUAUAAUGGGUCAGCGACUUAUAUUCUGUAGCAAGGUUAACCGAAUAGGGGAGCCGAAGGGAAACCGAGUCUUAACUGGGCGUUAAGUUGCAGGGUAUAGACCCGAAACCCGGUGAUCUAGCCAUGGGCAGGUUGAAGGUUGGGUAACACUAACUGGAGGACCGAACCGACUAAUGUUGAAAAAUUAGCGGAUGACUUGUGGCUGGGGGUGAAAGGCCAAUCAAACCGGGAGAUAGCUGGUUCUCCCCGAAAGCUAUUUAGGUAGCGCCUCGUGAAUUCAUCUCCGGGGGUAGAGCACUGUUUCGGCAAGGGGGUCAUCCCGACUUACCAACCCGAUGCAAACUGCGAAUACCGGAGAAUGUUAUCACGGGAGACACACGGCGGGUGCUAACGUCCGUCGUGAAGAGGGAAACAACCCAGACCGCCAGCUAAGGUCCCAAAGUCAUGGUUAAGUGGGAAACGAUGUGGGAAGGCCCAGACAGCCAGGAUGUUGGCUUAGAAGCAGCCAUCAUUUAAAGAAAGCGUAAUAGCUCACUGGUCGAGUCGGCCUGCGCGGAAGAUGUAACGGGGCUAAACCAUGCACCGAAGCUGCGGCAGCGACGCUUAUGCGUUGUUGGGUAGGGGAGCGUUCUGUAAGCCUGUGAAGGUGUACUGUGAGGUAUGCUGGAGGUAUCAGAAGUGCGAAUGCUGACAUAAGUAACGAUAAAGCGGGUGAAAAGCCCGCUCGCCGGAAGACCAAGGGUUCCUGUCCAACGUUAAUCGGGGCAGGGUGAGUCGACCCCUAAGGCGAGGCCGAAAGGCGUAGUCGAUGGGAAACAGGUUAAUAUUCCUGUACUUGGUGUUACUGCGAAGGGGGGACGGAGAAGGCUAUGUUGGCCGGGCGACGGUUGUCCCGGUUUAAGCGUGUAGGCUGGUUUUCCAGGCAAAUCCGGAAAAUCAAGGCUGAGGCGUGAUGACGAGGCACUACGGUGCUGAAGCAACAAAUGCCCUGCUUCCAGGAAAAGCCUCUAAGCAUCAGGUAACAUCAAAUCGUACCCCAAACCGACACAGGUGGUCAGGUAGAGAAUACCAAGGCGCUUGAGAGAACUCGGGUGAAGGAACUAGGCAAAAUGGUGCCGUAACUUCGGGAGAAGGCACGCUGAUAUGUAGGUGAAGUGACUCGCGGAUGGAGCUGAAAUCAGUCGAAGAUACCAGCUGGCUGCAACUGUUUAUUAAAAACACAGCACUGUGCAAACACGAAAGUGGACGUAUACGGUGUGACGCCUGCCCGGUGCCGGAAGGUUAAUUGAUGGGGUCAGCGCAAGCGAAGCUCUUGAUCGAAGCCCCGGUAAACGGCGGCCGUAACUAUAACGGUCCUAAGGUAGCGAAAUUCCUUGUCGGGUAAGUUCCGACCUGCACGAAUGGCGUAAUGAUGGCCAGGCUGUCUCCACCCGAGACUCAGUGAAAUUGAACUCGCUGUGAAGAUGCAGUGUACCCGCGGCAAGACGGAAAGACCCCGUGAACCUUUACUAUAGCUUGACACUGAACAUUGAGCCUUGAUGUGUAGGAUAGGUGGGAGGCUUUGAAGUGUGGACGCCAGUCUGCAUGGAGCCGACCUUGAAAUACCACCCUUUAAUGUUUGAUGUUCUAACGUGGACCCGUAAUCCGGGUUGCGGACAGUGUCUGGUGGGUAGUUUGACUGGGGCGGUCUCCUCCUAAAGAGUAACGGAGGAGCACGAAGGUUGGCUAAUCCUGGUCGGACAUCAGGAGGUUAGUGCAAUGGCAUAAGCCAGCUUGACUGCGAGCGUGACGGCGCGAGCAGGUGCGAAAGCAGGUCAUAGUGAUCCGGUGGUUCUGAAUGGAAGGGCCAUCGCUCAACGGAUAAAAGGUACUCCGGGGAUAACAGGCUGAUACCGCCCAAGAGUUCAUAUCGACGGCGGUGUUUGGCACCUCGAUGUCGGCUCAUCACAUCCUGGGGCUGAAGUAGGUCCCAAGGGUAUGGCUGUUCGCCAUUUAAAGUGGUACGCGAGCUGGGUUUAGAACGUCGUGAGACAGUUCGGUCCCUAUCUGCCGUGGGCGCUGGAGAACUGAGGGGGGCUGCUCCUAGUACGAGAGGACCGGAGUGGACGCAUCACUGGUGUUCGGGUUGUCAUGCCAAUGGCACUGCCCGGUAGCUAAAUGCGGAAGAGAUAAGUGCUGAAAGCAUCUAAGCACGAAACUUGCCCCGAGAUGAGUUCUCCCUGACCCUUUAAGGGUCCUGAAGGAACGUUGAAGACGACGACGUUGAUAGGCCGGGUGUGUAAGCGCAGCGAUGCGUUGAGCUAACCGGUACUAAUGAACCGUGAGGCUUAACCUUACAACGCCGAAG